CUCCGGUGCAUUCUCCAGGUGCAUUCUACCAGUGUGGUCUUCAGGUGUGUUAUUCCUGUGUGUUAUUCAGGUGUAGUCUCCAGAUGAGGUCUUCAGGUGAGACUCAGUUCAGCAUGAGACAAGUGACCAGCAGGGUGUUUGCUGAUGUAACAGACUGUGCAGCCUUAAAGAGGCACCAACAGAAUACGUCAGGCCUGAACUUCCUGUAGGGGGCAUUCUUCACCAUGCAGUCAAUGGACUCCAGCAGCUCCACCAUGGUCAGGAGUUCAGGACUAAAAACCAAUGUUGGUGUUCUGAUCUGUGUGAAGAACUCACUGUACUGAUAGUGAGGGAGUUCCUGGUCCUUACUGCUGAUCCCACUCUUCAAGUGACCCUACAGGAGGAGCAAAAGUUGGACCAGUAAAUAGGAGGAAGAGGAAGAAGAGGAGCAAGAAGAAGAGCAGGAAGCGCAGGAAGAGAAGGAGGAGGAGGUGCAGGAAGAGGAUAAAAACCACAUGCCAUCUGCUAAAAUGCUAAAAAAUACAGUCAACAGCUUCAACAAACAGUCAUGAAUUUUAACAGAGUCAAUAAAGAC